rnacentral:rRNA from 1 species
AACGCGAAGAACCUUACCAAGUCUUGACAUCCCCCUGACCGGUGAGUAAUGUCACCUUUCCUUCGGACAGGGGAGACAGGUGGUGCAUGGUUGUCGUCAGCUCGUGUCGUGAGAUGUUGGGUUAAGUCCCGCAACGAGCGCAACCCCUAUCUUCAGUAGCCAGCAUUUAAGGUGGGCACUCUGGAGAGACUGCCGGGGAUAACCCGGAGGAAGGUGGGGAUGACGUCAAAUCAUCAUGCCCCUUAUGAUUUGGGCUACACACGUGCUACAAUGGCGUAAACAAAGGGAAGCGAAGCCGCGAGGUGGAGCAAAUCCCAAAAAUAACGUCCCAGUUCGGACUGCAGUCUGCAACUCGACUGCACGAAGCCGGAAUCGCUAGUAAUCGCGGAUCAGAAUGCCGCGGUGAAUACGUUCCCGGGUCUUGUACACACCG